rnacentral:rRNA from 1 species
UUGAAAGGGAAACGAUUGAAGUCAGUCGUGCUGGCGCGAAAUCAACCUUCUCGUCUUGAGAUCACAUGGCGUGGCGAGCCUCAAAACCGUCACGAAGCGUGAACUCUUGGUGAAAUGGGGCACUUUCGUGUCCGCUGGUUAACAUCAAUUUCGAACGUCAUAAAAAGGCUGGAGGGAUGUGGCUCCUUCGGGAGUGUUAUAACCUUUAGCGGAAUGUGGUGUUCGGGAUUGAGGAUUGCAACGAAUACCUUUAGGGCUGUUCCACCUGGCUUCUCUUUGGUAUCCUGGUGACGACAGCUUGCUGACGUCGUUAGGAUUCGCCUUUGAACAGGUUAGAGUGUGAGCAAAUUCGUUAAGGAUGUUGACGUA